GUGGGGGGGGGCGUGGCCUGCAGAUGGAUCUGUUGGAGGUGAUCUGGCAGAUUCAAAUAAAAACUCAGUUAAUGCUGAUUAAAGGUCUAAUUUAAUCUGUUAGUGGCUGAAAAGCUUGGAGGGAUUAAUGCAGACUGAUAUCGACCACAGCAGCAUCUGACAAAGUUUCAGAGGGCGGCAGACCCUCGGUUUUCCCUGUUUGUCUGUUUUGACCUUUUUGUUCUUCGACUGAUGCUGAAUCACUGGUUGCCUGUUCAGUCUCGAUCCAACCUGUUUCGCAGCACAUUAACGCAGUGCGACUGCAACCAGCUGCACCUCAUCAGCUGGUCCUUCAUACACACUGGGCUGCAGACUGGCUGAAAACGACUGCGGUGGCAGCAUCAUGCUGUGGGAGGCUUAUCUUCAGCGGGUAUACAGGGAAGCUGGGCUGUAGAUGGAUCAAGGCUUCAACUGGUCUGUGGUGGUGAAGAAGGAUCUGAGCUGAAAGGUAAAGGUCUGGAUUAACUUCUAUCCGUUCUCCAGCCCUCACCUCUGGUCAGCAGAUACGGAUAAUGACUCAAAAGAGGAGAUCCUGGGUUGAAGCAGCUGGAAUGAACCUCCUCUGCCGACUGGCUGCUAACUGGUAUGAGGUUCUAACCAUGUGACCAAAGAACAAAACAAUUCAAAUCAAAUGUAAAGCAUAAACUAAUCACUUUUACAUCAAACAAAAUACUUUUCUUAUUGCUUCUUAAGUGAUUAUUACUUGCAUGUAAAAGUUAUUAUACAUUAAAUAACUUCUAAAUCUAUUAGCAGUUAUUUGCUUUCUGUGCAUAAUCUACUGUUUAACCAUUUAGUCUCUUAGUGUCACACUGAAUAACGAGCUAAUAUUAUUGGGAUUAUUGGCUGCAGUGAGCUGGUCACCUUAAUGAGAGUCGGAACGCUUCCCACACCAUGACUGUUUGUAAUUUUCAUGUCCACAAACUUUUCCAGAUGGAUAAAUUGAUUGGGGAGACUCGUGGAUCCACCAGCAGAAGCUGGAGAUGUUGGGGUGUCCCUCCUGGACAGGAAGCGUUCCCUCUGCAACCCCAUUUGGACUAAGUUGUAUCUUUUAUUUAUUUUGUGCUGAAAAAAUAAAUGACCUUUAAAAACAUUUUGCAGAAAACAAAAAUGGUCAAGUGUAAAUAAUUUUUACCCAUUUAAAUCAAAUUCAGGGAAAUUACAAAAUCCUAAUUUAUUAAAAAUGUUUGAUUUACCAUGUUUAUCAGAAGAGAUGAGGGAGAGCUUGGACAA